GGAUGUGAGGGUGAUCUGGUUAUGACAUCUGUCACUCCAUGGAUCACCACAGUUCAUUUGGCUAAUUUGGCUGGCUAGGCAGGUGUCCCCUUUCUUCCGCAAUGCUCUUUGUGUAUCCCUCCUGAAGCACACUCAAUCAGUCGAAGAAAAAGACCACCCUCCAUAAAGGAGGACCAUUCUUUGGAGAAAAAGUGCAUUAAUAGCUACGCUGCCCUGUUAGAACCUCCAACAAGCUCUCAACUGUCAGAAUAUUGUGGCAUCCACAAGAGCCUCUUAACCAAGAUCUUCUUUAAAGUAUAUAGGUAAGAAUGGCACUU
rnacentral:snRNA from 1 species